GUCAAUGUGGUACAGUGGUUUGCAUACUGUACUAGGAAUCUGGAGAUCAGGUUUCAAAUCCCUGCUUGGACA